ensembl:lncRNA
GCGGGCACUGGGAGAAGGCAAACUAGACAUGUCACUUCUCGAGUGUGUGUUGGCUGUAACCACUCCAGCAUGGAAAUGUUGGGGUGAGAGAGAGCAGGGGAGGGAUCACCUAUGGUGCUGUAACUUGCCUCAGAGGUGCUCUACUAGCAAACCAACCUGAGCACUGCAAUUCGUGAUGAACCACCAACGCCUAACAACGUCUCCCUUCUCUUUUAAGAUAUGAAAACAGGAAAUUCUCUGUCAGUAAAGCAAGAUUGCUGUUUGAGAGUAUAUCUCAUGCUUUCCAAAAACACUCGGUACAACAGGACUCAAACAAGAAAAAUCAAGACGACAAGCAAUUAGCCAGCAUGUAACCUUAAUUCGUCCCUUUGAGUGAUGACUAGAAAACAGGCAGCACCCAGAAGUGAAGCCAAAUGACUCAUUUUCCGAAAAAGCAAAUACGGGUCUGUUGCCGGCAUUUCCUCCCCACACCCUAAAACCGUUUCUGGCAGCGUGCGCAGAGAUGACCUUGUCAUGGCUGCAGGCACUCGGAGCUGCCAUGAAGUGAAGAUAUUUGCUCAGCUUCUAUUUCUACAGACAAAAAAAAUGCUGCUUCAUAAGUACAGUGAUUUUCUGUUUUCCUUGGUGGAGACGAGGAGAGAGAACUGUUAUUUAUAGUGCCUUUCGUGGGAGUGCCUCAGACUUGAAGGAGGUCCUUCCCUUCUCUUGAGAAACUGGUGGCUGGACAGAAAGUACUUCAGCUACAUCUGUGGUGUUCCCCAGCCCUCACGCGUUGUAUGAAUGUCACCGUUGUGCCCACAGCAGUGAGCCGCGCAGCUUCAGGGACUCCAGGAGAAGUUAGACCAUCCAGCCGCUUGUAAGCUCUGGUAUAACACAGCUUUCCUGUGGCGAAGUGCACAUGAGCAGCGAGGGCAGAUUUAAGGACGGCCUUCAGAAACAGAUGUCAGACGCUGUGCUGUAGCAGCAGUCAUUGUGCUGAAAAAUUUGGAAUGCUUUUAAGUCAACUGAAAAUAAGCUCACGUUCCAGACUAUCAGCUGCCUGCUUUGAGCAUAACUUGACCAGGCAGUGGAAGAGAAAGUCCCAGAGGAACCUUUGCAGAAAGCUGUGCAGAGGGGGGAGAAAAGAGCAUCACACCCCGAAAUCUGACACAUACAAAGAAGGAAGAGGCUCAGCUCAGAGUCAAACAACAAGAGGUCAUAAAUUCAGUGUCUUAAGAAAAUGUCACUGUUGGAAGAGGAUGACUAGCGUUUCUACAACUAGAGAUAUCUCUUACAAGCCUGAAAGGAAACUUGGCACAUUAUGUGAGGAAGCAGCAGGCUGCUACUGCCUCUGUGAUUACAGAAAAAUAAAUUAUAUUGAGGACUGGAUUUUAAAAAGCUCUUCUCUUCCUUUCUGAACAGUAAGUAUUUUUCAUACAGCUGAGUUGUGUAACAAAAGAGAAUUAUCUUGCUAUUUUAAGAUAAACUUCUCUAUGCAAAAAUUCCUCUAAGUAGUGAAGAAGUGCUAGCCAUAAAAAUAACAUUAAUGUCUGUACUCUUCUCCAUUUAGGCUCUGAUCUGAGAUGCACU